AUACUUACCUGGUGUUGGAUUCCCGGUGAUCACUUAGGCCGGGUUCCCGUGCCGAGGCCUUUCCAUUGCACUGCGGUGGGCUGAAGCACGCCACUACCCCAAACCGGGGUAGGUGGGGCAUGUAAUUUUUAGUAGUGGGGCUAGGCGUACGCGCCAGCCUCU
rnacentral:snRNA from 1 species